AUACUUACCUUGCAUAGAGGACAAUGUGAUUAUGAACGUGAUUCCUGGUAGGUGCGGCUGAUCCAUUGCACUUAGGUCAUGCUGACCUCUGCUAUUGCGCCAAACACGGGUAACUCGGGCGAAAAACUUUUUGUAGUCGGAAAUACUUCAGUGCAUUGCCGG